rnacentral:tRNA from 2 species
CCUUCGAUAGCUCAGUUGGUAGAGCGGUGGACUGUAGAUCCAUAGGCCGCUGGUUCAAAUCCGGCUCGAAGGA